rnacentral:rRNA from 1 species
UUACGCUGUUAUCCCUUAGGUAAUUUAGUCUUUUAAUCAACAAGGAUGGAUCAAAAAAUUAUAAAUAAAUAUAUAAAUAAAAGAAAGAGUUUAAUAAUUCAUUUCCAUCACCCCAACAAAAUAAAUUUUAAUAUUAAAAUUUAUUUUUAAACCAACAAUAUAAUAUUAAAAUUUAUUAAACUCUAUAGGGUCUUCUCGUCCCAUAAAAAAAUUUAAGCAUUUUAACUUAAAACUUAAAUUAAAUUAAUCUUAUUAAGAAACAGUAUAUUCCUCGUCCAACCAUUCAUUCCAGUCCUCAAUUAAAAGACUAAUGAUUAUGCUACCUUUGCACGGUCAAAACACCGCGGCCCUUCAAAACUAUAUCAGUGGGCAGGUUAUACUUCAUAAUUAAAACAAGAAGAGAUGUUUUUGAUAAACAGGCG